GAUGAACGCUGGCGGCGUGCUUAACACAUGCAAGUCGAACGGGAAUUACUUUAUUGAAACUUCGGUCGAUUUCAUUUAAUUCUAGUGGCGGCCGGGUGAGUAACGCGUGGGUAACCUGCCUUAUACAGGGGGAUAACAGUCAGAAAUGGCUGCUAAUACCGCAUAAGCGCACAGAGCUGCAUGGCUCGGUGUGAAAAACUCCGGUGGUAUAAGAUGGACCCGCGUUGGAUUAGCUUGUUGGUGGGGUAACGGCCCACCACGGCGACGAUCCAUAGCCGGCCUGAGAGGGUGAACGGCCACAUUGGGACUGAGACACGGCCCAGACUCCUACGGGAGGCAGCAGUGGGGAAUAUUGCACAAUGGGGGAAACCCUGAUGCAGCGACGCCGCGUGAAGGAAGAAGUAUCUCGGUAUGUAAACUUCUAUCAGCAGGGAAGAUAGUGACGGUACCUGACUAAGAAGCCCCGGCUAACUACGUG
rnacentral:rRNA from 1 species